ACAAGCAUGUCUGCCUUCACUGUUAGAAUGAUCCUUAAUUUAUCUUCUACCUAAUUAUAUAAUUAAACCUGCUAGACAUUUAUAUAUGAACUGACAAACCCUUCUUCGACAAGCACCUAGCUAUAGUGCUCGCAGAAAUAACCAUGGGCGAAGAAUCAGAGUAUCAAACACCGCUACUAGAACUUGACUCUCAUUCACGUAUUCGAGAUUUGUCUUCUGUUACAAUUGAAGAAUUCUUGGAGCACGGGCCUGUGGCUGUCCGAUGGUGGCCACGUCUAGUUGCAUGGGAAUCAAGGCUCCUUUGGAUCCUAUCUGGCUCAUCUAUUAUUGUUUCCGUGUCCACCUUCAUGCUUAGUUUCGUGACCCAGAUGUUUUCAGGGCAUUUGGGUGCAUUAGAGCUUGCCGGGGCAUCUAUUGCCAAUGUAGGAAUUCAGGGUCUUGCUUAUGGCAUAAUGCUGGGCAUGGCCAGUGCGGUGCAAACUGUCUGUGGCCAAGCAUAUGGAGCCAAAAAGUACUCAUCAAUGGGCAUCAUUUGCCAAAGAGCAAUUAUUUUGCACCUGGGAGCAGCUUUCCUCCUCACAUUCCUAUAUUGGUUUUCAGGGCCAGUUCUGCGAGCUAUUGGGCAAACAGAGAGCAUAGCUGAGCAGGGCGAAAUUUUCGCUCGUGGCCUGAUACCUCAGCUAUAUGCAUUUGCAUUUAGCUGCCCUAUGCAGAGGUUUCUCCAAGCUCAGAACAUAGUAAACCCUCUAGCAUACAUGUCUGUUGCGGUAUUCCUACUCCACAUUCUUCUCACAUGGAUUGUUGUUUAUGUACUGCAAUAUGGUCUCUUGGGAGCUGCUCUAACACUGAGCUUCUCUUGGUGGUUGUUCGUCAUCUUAAAUGGACUUUACAUUAUCCUGAGCCCUUCUUGCAAGGAAACCUGGACUGGCUUAUCUGCCAGUGCUUUCACAGGAAUUUGGCCUUAUUUUAAGCUUACAGUCUCGUCUGCUGUCAUGCUUUGUUUGGAGAUAUGGUACAGCCAGGGACUGGUACUUAUAUCAGGACUCCUCACUGAUCCAACAGUAGCACUAGACUCCAUUUCUAUAUGCAUGAACUACUUGAACUGGGACAUGCAAUUCAUGUUAGGCCUGAGCGCAUCUACCAGCGUUCGAGUAGGUAAUGAACUAGGGGCAGGUCAUCCGAAGGUAGCGAAAUUGUCAGUGAUGGUGGUGAAUGGCACUAGCAUCGUAAUUAGCAUAAUUUUCAGCGCGAUAGUUUUGAUUUUUCGAGUUGGAUUAAGCAAACUCUUUACAACCGAUUAUGAGGUUAUAGAUGCAGUUUCUGAUUUGACUCCCCUGCUUGCCAUCUCUGUUUUCUUAAAUGGUAUUCAGCCUAUACUGUCAGGUGUGGCCAUUGGGAGUGGAUGGCAAGCUACUGUAGCUUAUGUUAACCUGGCCACUUAUUAUGUAAUUGGUCUCCCAAUUGGAUGUGUCCUUGCCUUCAAAACCAGCUUAGGAGUUGCUGGGAUCUGGUGGGGGAUGGUCGCUGGAGUUCUCUUGCAAACAAUAACUUUAAUUAUUCUUACUGCCAGAACAAAUUGGGAUACUGAGGUAACUUAAUCCACCUUGUGUCACUUGCCUUCUUUCUAUCUUGGAUAGAAUUGGGAUUCGUUGCCAUCAUUGUUAAAAAAUGCGUUUACAGGUUCAGAAUGCAGCUGAACGUUUGAAGAAAUCAGCAAAUGAAGAUUUCUCUGGCUUGGUGGAGGCCAUCUAAGGACAUUUCAAUCGAUUCCCACCAUUUCAAUCGUUUUAAUUUCUUAAAAACAAUAGAGUUGACUCAGUUAAAAUCCGGUGAUCCAGGCUUUAGACGGCUUCAAUUACCGGGCUGAGUUUAAAAACUAUAUAUUUAAGUCGGUGUAUUUCCUUCCCAGAAAAAAUAAUAGAACAGCACGUAGUUUCUUUA